ACCUCUCGGGGUUACAGCCUUGCUGAAUUAUUCACCCUUGUCUUUUGCGUACUUCUUGUUUCCUUGGUGGGUUCGCCCACCACUAGGACAAACAUAAACCUUUUGUAAUUGCAAUCAGCGUCAGUAACAAAUUAAUAAUUACAACUUUCAACAACGGAUCUCUUGGUUCUGGCAUCGAUGAAGAACGCAGCGAAAUGCGAUAAGUAGUGUGAAUUGCAGAAUUCAGUGAAUCAUCGAAUCUUUGAACGCACAUUGCGCCCUUUGGUAUUCCAAAGGGCAUGCCUGUUCGAGCGUCAUUUGUACCCUCAAGCUUUGCUUGGUGUUGGGCGUCUUGUCUCUAGCUUUGCUGGAGACUCGCCUUAAAGUAAUUGGCAGCCGGCCUACUGGUUUCGGAGCGCAGCACAAGUCGCACUCUCUAUCAGCAAAGGUCUAGCAUCCAUUAAGCCUUUUUUUCAACUUUUGACCUCGGAUCAGGUAGGGAUACCCGCUGAACUUAAGCAUAUCA
rnacentral:rRNA from 3 species